GACGAACGCUGGCGGCGUGCUUAACACAUGCAAGUCGAACGGUAAGGCCCUUCGGGGUACACGAGUGGCGAACGGGUGAGUAACACGUGGGUGAUCUGCCCUGCACUUCGGGAUAAGCCUGGGAAACUGGGUCUAAUACCGGAUAGGACUCCUGGCUUCAUGGUUGGGGGUGGAAAGCUUUUGCGGUGUGGGAUGGGCCCGCGGCCUAUCAGCUUGUUGGUGGGGUAAUGGCCUACCAAGGCGACGACGGGUGGGCGGCCUGAGAGGGUGACCGGUCAGACAGGCACUGCGAUACGGCCCAGACUCCUACGGGAGGCAGCAGUGGGGAAUAUUGCACAAUGGGCGCAAGCCUGAUGCAGCGACGCCGCGUGAGGGAUGACGGCCUUCGGGUUGUAAACCUCUUUCAGCUAUGACGAAGCGCAAGUGACGGUAGUAGCAGAAGAAGGACCGGCCAACUACGUGCCAGCCGCCGCAGUAA
rnacentral:rRNA from 1 species